AUCUCGCGCUGCCCCACUGCACUGUCUGUGAAAAAGUUGUCUUCCACCAAAACUGGUCCCUGGUGCCAAAAAGGAUAUGAUGGGAGUAAGUGAGAUCGUGCAGAAGUACUGACUCUAAAGGCAUUUGGAUGAGAUGAGUUGGCAUCCCAGUGGGUACCGAGGGCAAGAUUGCAGGCUUCAUCAACCAUUAACAUCCGGAGAGUGAGCCAUGGUCCAGUCUUCCCCAUGCUGACUGUGCGUAUCUCGUCAGCCCUUCACUCCCUAGCAAGAGACAGCACGGUGAAGAUCAUGGGCUGCAGACCUUCAGACUUGGUUUUCAUCCUGGCUCCUCUCUCUGUUUGCUGUACAACCUCA